CACGUAGGGCGCAAGCGUUGUCCGGAAUUAUUGGGCGUAAAGAGCUCGUAGGCGGUCUGUUGCGUCCGCUGUGAAAACUCGGGGCUUAACCCCGAGCCUGCAGUGGAUACGGGCAGACUAGAGGUAGGUAGGGGAGAAUGGAAUUCCCGGUGUAGCGGUGAAAUGCGCAGAUAUCGGGAGGAACACCGGUGGCGAAGGCGGCUCACUGGCUCGUAUCUGACGCUCAGGCGCGACAGCGUGGGGAUCAAACAGG
rnacentral:rRNA from 1 species